rnacentral:rRNA from 1 species
CCUACGGGUGGCAGCAGUGGGGAAUAUUGCACAAUGGGCGCAAGCCUGAUGCAGCCAUGCCGCGUGUGUGAAGAAGGCCUUCGGGUUGUAAAGCACUUUCAGCGGGGAGGAAGGCGUUAAGGUUAAUAACCUUGGCGAUUGACGUUACCCGCAGAAGAAGCACCGGCUAACUCCGUGCGCAGCAGCCGCGGUAAUACGGAGGGUGCAAGCGUUAAUCGGAAUUACUGGGCGUAAAGCGCACGCAGGCGGCCUGUCAAGUCGGAUGUGAAAUCCCCGGGCUCAACCUGGGAACUGCAUUCGAAACUGGCAGGCUAGAGUCUGGUAGGGGGGGGUAGAAUCCCAGGUGUGGCGGGGAAAUGCGUAGAGAUCUGGAGGAAUACCGGUGGCGAGGGCGGCCCCCUGGACAAAGACUGACGCUCAGGUGCGAAAGCGUGGGGAGCAAACAGGAUUAGAUACCCUAGUAGUC